rnacentral:rRNA from 1 species
UAACCGAAUAGGGCAGGCGUAGAGAAAUCGAGUCCGAAUAGGGCGUCUUUAGUCGCUGGGUGUAGACCCGAAACCAAGUGAUCUAUCCAUGGCCAGGAUGAAGGUGCUGUAACAGGUACUGGAGGUCCGAACCGACUAGUGUUGCAAAAUUAGCGGAUGAGCUGUGGAUAGGGGUGAAAGGCUAAACAAACUUGGAAAUAGCUGGUUCUCUCCGAAAACUAUUUAGGUAGUGCCUCAAGUAUUACCUGCGGGGGUAGAGCACUGUUUAGGCUAGGGGGUCAUGGCGACUUACCAACCCUAGGCAAACUCCGAAUACCGCAGAGUACAGCUUGGGAGACAGAGCACCGGGUGCUAACGUCCGGACUCAAGAGGGAAACAACCCAGACCGCCAGCUAAGGUCCCUAAAAUUGGCUAAGUGGGAAACGAAGUGGGAAGGCUAAAACAGUCAGGAUGUUGGCUUAGAAGCAGCCAUCAUUUAAAGAAAGCGUAAUAGCUCACUGAUCGAGUCGUCCUGCGCGGAAG